ensembl:lncRNA CHUK-DT CHUK divergent transcript
GCGUCACUUCCGGUAACCGCUGCGAGAAGGCCCUUCCCUAAGUUCUCCCAGGGCGCUGCCAGAGCCCUGCCGGCUAAGGGAUGGGGAAACAAACAGGUGGGGCUGUAAUCUCGUAAUUCCCAGUCAAAAGAGGUAGGAAGGGAUGCUGAGGACCCAGGGAUACUGAUGAUUGGGCUGACCCAGAAGUGGCCAUCUUUGUGGAAACCAGUCAUCCAGAGUAAAGUCAUAGGGCUCAAAGUCUUUCCGGAAGCGGCGAGCCAGGGUCUCCUCGUCUUCCUUGCUGAUCUGACACUGCCUCCAGUCAGACUUAUCAGGAACAUUAAGGAUGGCUUCACUGGCCAGGACCUCCCUGCAGAAAUAGCACAAAGAAGUCAAAAUGGAAACUAUCAGCCUGAGCUCUCCUCAACAUCACCCAAAGGAGGGGACUCAGGCCCACGUAACAGCAGCACAAGCCCAAUGUCAACAAAACAACUAUCUUGGCUCUUAGGACUAAAGAAUAACUACAUACAGACACACUCACACACAAGCUGCCUUCUAAUCGCCAUUGCUUUAUAUUUUUAUUUUUACUUAUUUUGAUAUAUUAGAAAUAAUUCUAUUACACAUUUAUAUGGUUCAUUUUCCACUUUGAAGUUACAGUAAAUAGAAGAGUUAGAAACAAAUCAUGAAUUCUCUAUAAGUCAAAGAACCUAAGCUCCCUGGGCAAACUUUGAGCCUAUUUCAAAUAUAAAAGGAAAAUAGAACUACCUUUCUUGUACAGCUGAAAAAAAUAUGCCAUUUCAAAUAUUUUGUUAACUAUAAAAUGCUAUAUAACUAUAAAUUAGUAUCUUGAUAAUUACUCAAUAUUGAAAAUACAUCAUAAGCACAAAA